GCUCAGAGCGAACGUUAGCGGCACGCCUAACACAUGCAAGUCGCACGAGAAAGGGGCAACCUGAGUAAAGUGGCGCACGGGUGCGUAACACGUAGAUAACCUGCCCUUUGGAGGGGGAUAACGUUCCGAAAGGAGCGCUAAUACCGCAUACAGCAGUUUCCGGUUUGCCGGAGAUUGGCAAAGGUAGGGACCCGCAAGGGCCUACCGCCAGAGGAGGGGUCUGCGGCCCAUCAGCUAGUUGGUGAGGUAAUGGCUCACCAAGGCAGAGACGGGUAGCUGGUCUGAGAGGAUGAUCAGCCACACUGGUACUGGAACACGGACCAGACUCCUACGGGAGGCAGCAGUGGGGAAUCUUGGUCAAUGGGCGCAAGCCUGAACCAGCGAUGCCGCGUGAGUGAUGAAGGCCUUCGGGUUGUAAAGCUCUGUGGGGCGGGACGAAAAAGCAGUUUCUAACAGGAGCUGAAUUGACGGUACCGCCUUAGCAAGCACCGGCUAACUCUGUGCCAGCAGCCGCGGUAAGACAGAGGGUGCAAACGUUGCUCGGAAUCACUGGGCGUAAAGGGCGUGUAGGCGGGACAGUAAGUCGGGCGUGAAAUCCCUGGGCUCAACCCAGGAACUGCACUCGAAACUACUAUUCUUGAGUGUCGGAGAGGAAAGCGGAAUUCCUGGUGUAGAGGUGAAAUUCGUAGAUAUCAGGAGGAACACCAGUGGCGAAGGCGGCUUUCUGGACGAUAACUGACGCUGAGACGCGAAAGCGUGGGGAGCAAACAGGAUUAGAUACCCUGGUAGUCCACGCUGUAAACGAUGAGUGCUAGGUGUCGUGGGUAUUGACCCCCGCGGUGCCGUAGCUAACGCAUUAAGCACUCCGCCUGGGAAGUACGGUCGCAAGAC
rnacentral:rRNA from 1 species